rnacentral:snRNA from 1 species
AUACUCACCUAGCAGGGGAGAUACCAUGAUCACUAAGGUGGUUUUCCCAGGGCGAGGCUCAUCCAUUACACUCUGGGUGUGCUGACCCCUGCGAUUUCCCCAAAUGCGGGAAACUCGACUGCAUAAUUUGUAGUAUCAACAUCUGUGCUUUGUUGA